UUUAUGUGUUGUUGGGCCAUGUUCUGUUUCCUGUUUUGUGAUUGUAUUUGGCGCUCGGAGAGAACAGGAAGAGCAGUAGAACAGUUCUAGGCAGGUGCUUGGUCUUGGUGGAGCAGAUGCCACCUGGUUUUCAUACUACAUCCGUAAUAGGACACUUCACACACU